rnacentral:lncRNA from 1 species
GCCUGACUUUGGUUGGCCAACCUGACUAAUUGCUACAACAACUUGAUUGAGUCAUCUUAUUAUAAAUGAUAAUUUCAAUAGUAGAUGAGCACUAGGCUUUUGAGCCUCCAAUAAUCAUCAUACUAAUAAACCCAUUAUCACCCAACUUAAUGGGAGGCUAUGAUUUAGUUAUCAUCAUAACUAUCUCAUUUUAAGGAUUUAAUUUAUGAAUUAAGAAAAGAAAAGAAAUCAACCAGUAAACCACAAUCCUCCCACUAACUUUAUCAAGUCAUUUAAUUUGAUCAGAGUUAUGCUAGUUGAAAUGGCACCUAGAUCAGUCACACUGAUCAACCUUAGUGGCAUGGGUUAACUCGAAUUACUUAGCAGUCUAAUCAAGACAUAAUCCAUCAAAUUGAUCAGGUAAG